CGUGGAAAGACCUUGUCCCUCUCCUUAGACAUAAUUACCGCCUCUUAACAAAUGAGCUUCAAGUUUAUGGCAGAUUCCUCUCUUCUUCUUCUUCUUCUUCUUCUCCUCUUUCUCCUCCCAUAUUCAUUUUCUUCCUUCCUUUCUGCUUUGCUUUUCCUGAACUUUCCAAACCUGACUCUUUUGGGGGCAGAUCAAAUAGUUUGGAGUCUCCAUUGGCAAAGUUGUGCGCCUUCCUCCAAAUCUCUCUGGCUCUGACCAUUAGGGAUUUCUUCCACUGUUUUUUUUUAUUUUGCAAAAAUCUCCCUUUCUCUCUCCUCUUUCCUUUCCAAAGAUGCCCAGCCAAAUACCUGACCUCAAGGAACCAGAAUGGUCCUGGUGAAGUCACGGUGUAGCCAAGGUUAUGACUGGUUUCCAAGUCUUCUUCGGUUUUUAUCCCAGUGGCUUAUCAUUAAUCAAAAGAAAUCGUGGAACGAGGGAAGAUAAUGUUCAGCACCUUGAACUUCUUGCAAACUGUGGCCAAACCCUGGAGCAGAUUCACUGCCUUACAGAGACAGAAGCUGCUGGCCAUACUUGGGACAAGUGACUGGACCUGGGAACUUUCAUGCAAAGCAGGUAUGCUAACCUAAAGACGUAUCCCCUUCCCUCUCACCAAAUUCAUAGGCUUCUUGGGAUGAUAAAGGGGUGUGUGUAUAGCAUAGAUUUCUCCUUGGAGAAAAGGAGAAAUCGAGAUGUAAUCAUAACAGUAAUUUUAUGGCUUAUAAUUCCAGCAGGGAGAGACACUAUGACCAACUGAGCAUGACUUACACAUAUGUGCACUUUUAGGAGAUGCUGCUCAAAUUUUAAUGGAGCAUGAUGGUGUGUGUAUGGAUGUUUAUUAAAUAUGUUUGGAAAUAGAAGGCUAUAUGGAAGGAUAUCUUGUUCCUAUCUUGUUCCCAUGUGUUUUCUAUAGCUGUGUCACCUGGAAUAUGGAGGACUGUGUGCAUUUUGGCACAGAACAGGUUGGAACAGGGCCUGAAACCUGUUGUUAGUCUCACCUAGCGCAGCUCCACUGAAUCAAUGAGAUUUUCUAUACUUCUAUAUUCCAAUGAGAUGUCAAUGAUUUAUUCAAUCA